GAGUUGGGGCUCAGUGGUAGAGCACUUGCCUGGCACGUGUGAGGCCCUGAGUUCAAAUCUCUGCAUUGCA
rnacentral:tRNA from 1 species